rnacentral:rRNA from 1 species
UCGUAAAGCACUGUUGUAUGGGAAGAAAUGCUAGAAUAGGGAAUGAUUCUAGUUCGACGGUACCAUACCAGAAAGGGACGGCUAAAUACGUGCCAGCAGCCGCGGUAAUACUUAUGUCCCGAGCGUUAUCCGGAUUUAUUGGGCGUAAAGCGAGCGCAGACGGUUGAUUAAGUCUGAUGUGAAAGCCCGGAGCUCAACUCCGGAAUGGCAUUGGAAACUGGUUAACUUGAGUGUUGUAGAGGUAAGUGGAACUCCAUGUGUAGCGGUGGAAUGCGUAGAUAUAUGGAAGAACACCAGUGGCGAAGGCGGCUUACUGGACAACAACUGACGUUGAGGCUCGAAAGUGUGGGUAGCAAACAGGAUU